AUUGAACGCUGGCGGCAGGCCUAACACAUGCAAGUCGAACGAGUGGCGGACGGGUGAGUAAUGUCUGGGAAACUGCCCGAUGGAGGGGGAUAACUACUGGAAACGGUAGCUAAUACCGCAUACACUCGGAUGUGCCCAGAGGGGAUUAGCUAGUGGGUGGGGAAACGGCUCACCUAGGCGACGAUCCCUAGCUGGUCUGAGGGGAUGACCAGCCACACUGGAACUGAGACAGGGUCCAGCCCCCUAGGGGGGGCAGCAGGGGGAAAUUGUGCAAAAGGGGCACAAGCCUGAGGCAGCCAUGCCGCGUGUAUGAAGAGGGCCUUCGGGUGGUAAAGUCCUUUAGGCGAGGAGACGUUACUCGCAGAAGAAGCACCGGCUAACUCCGUGCCAGCCGCCGCGGUAUAC
rnacentral:rRNA from 1 species